CACGUAGGGUGCGAGCGUUGUCCGGAAUUAUUGGGCGUAAAGAGCUCGUAGGCGGUGUGUCGCGUCGGCCGUGAAAACCUGGGGCUCAACUCUGGGCGUGCGGUCGAUACGGGCAUCACUUGAGUUCGGCAGGGGAGACUGGAAUUCCUGGUGUAGCGGUGAAAUGCGCAGAUAUCAGGAGGAACACCGGUGGCGAAGGCGGGUCUCUGGGCCGAUACUGACGCUGAGGAGCGAAAGCAUGGGUAGCGAACAGG
rnacentral:rRNA from 1 species